AUAUAUGGAAGUUUAUGAUAAUUUGGUUGCAUUGACAGUUUUGGUACUCGCCUUUGUUAGGUCAAGAUAUUCCUUUCUAUGCGACUUUGGCUUUGUGUUUUAUGUCAGAUAAGGGUAGCUUUUUUCAUCGUUACGUACGUGGAUGCAUGUGCUUUUGUAAGUUGGUUGUGAAGUAAGACAUGCUUGAUGGGAAUAUUGGAAAUGGAAGUUAAAACAAAAAAGAGGAGUUUAUCUGGAUAAGUGCCAGGCUAGCUAGUUGGGGAAAAUUAGAAGCAGAGAUGGUUUUACUUUUGUGGUGGUUGUGGUUCAGCUACUUGAUAGGAUACAAUUUUCGAUCGUCGUUCCAAGAUUAGGAAAAAAUCAAGAAUUAUUUAUUUAUUUAUUUAUUAUUUUUUGUGUGGUUAUAAUGAAUUGAAAGUGAUUAAUAUGUUGAGCCUAAUCGGUCGUGGCAGAGAUGGUGAUGAUCCAUAAAGUUGGUAUCAGAAUCUGUGUGGAAAAUAUGAGCAUCAAAUGAAGAUAUCACAUUGCUCACAAA